GGAUGCGAUCAUACCAGCACUAAAGCAAAGGAUCCCAUCAGAACUCCGAAGUUAAGCGUGCUUGGGCGAGAGUAGUACUAGGAUGGGUGACCUCCUGGGAAGUCCUCGUGUUGCAUUCC
rnacentral:rRNA from 1 species